CUCUCUCUCUCUCUCUCUCUCUCUCUCUCUCUCUCUCUCUCUCUCUCUCUCUCUCUCUCUCUCUCUCUAAAGAUUUGCAAUCCGCUAAAAUCACAUGCUCCUCCGUCAUCGUCCAAUUCUGCCUCGCAAGAUCUCCUCACCAUCACCUCCAUAUCAGAAUCGCAACCUCAAGAUCCAUAUCGAUCCAACCAAACGCGCCUCCAUCUUCAAGGCCAUCGACGCUUUGAACUAAUCUUUCUGAUUGUUGAAUUAAAGAAAGAAGAUGUGGAGGAAAUUGGUGAGUUUCUCAUUGCAAUUAAUUGAUUUGUGCCGCUUGAUUUCUGCACAUGUUGGUAAGAUCUAGGCUCUAGUAGCAGGUUGAUAAUUGCAUGCUACUGCUUGGGACAUUUUUCAACUUUUCGGUCUGCGCGCAAGAGCAGCUAGAUUCGUGGUCGGCAGUAGCAACGAGCUUGACGAUCGGCAUGACCAGCUAGCUUCAAGAUCCGUAGUAGCAGUAGCAGCCUUCAAUUAUUUUUAGAGAUCUCUUCGACCUAAUCUCAGUUGCUAACAAAGAAGAAAACAAAUCUCUUUGUUCGUUACAUAAGAGAGCAAAAACGAGGAGCUUUGAUCUGUGAUGACGAAGGGUAUAAAGGUAAAUUGCUUGGUGACAGAUGGCAGCCAUACAUCCAAUUGUCCUUAAUUGAAAGAGUUUGUCCUGAGAUGUUUAAUAUAAUCAAUAAUGGAUGUAUUUGUAAAGUAAUAUUUGGUUAGUAACUAAUAUGACAUUUGCUAUUGUUUUUUUACAUCAACAGGAUCUAGACACUCGGGUGACUGACAAUAGAGUAACCAAACUUACAAAAUGAUCAAAAUGAUAUCCAGACUUAAUUUUUGGCAUCUCCGUUAUACCUACUGUUAAUUUCAGGGACGUCUCCGUCAGUUCCACCAUGUGCCACAUACGAGACAUACAAAAUAAAUCGAAAGGUCAUAUCUGACUAACCGUCUAACCCAAUAUAGUUU
rnacentral:lncRNA from 1 species